GACAGAGGGUGCAAACGUUGUUCGGAAUUACUGGGCGUAAAGCGCGUGUAGGCGGCUUUGCAAGUCGGGUGUGAAAGCCCUCGGCUCAACCGAGGAAGUGCGCCCCGAAACUGCAGAGCUUGAGUACCGGAGAGGAUGGCGGAAAUUCCCCAAGUAGAGGUGAAAUUCGUAGAUAUGGGGAGGAACACCGGUGGCGAAGGCGGCCAUCUGGACGGAUACUGACGCUGAGACGCGAAAGCGUGGGUAGCAAACGAGG
rnacentral:rRNA from 1 species